rnacentral:lncRNA from 1 species
AACAACUUACCUUAAAAAAAUAACAACAUACCUCAACAAAAACAACAACAUACCUCAACAAAAAUAUCAAUAUACCUAAACUAAAAUAUCUACAAUAACAUAAACAACAACGUAUCUCAAUAAAAAAAAAUAAACAUAACUCAACAAAAACAUAAAAAAUAACAGAAAUGCCAUUAUAUAACCUCAACCUCAACAAAAACAACAAAAUAACCAAAAAAU